rnacentral:pre_miRNA from 1 species
CCUAGAUGAUAAUGAUGAUGAUGAUGAUGAUGAUGUUGUUAAUGUUCAUCACUACCGCCAUCAUCAUCAUCAUCACCAUCAUCAUCAUCAUCAUCA